CGAUCGCACCAGCUGGUGCCUCCUCCCUGCUUGUUGGCCGGCCGUGGGCGACCAGCGGCGUCGGCUUGCUCAUCAAAAUUGUAUCCCGAGCACCUGUCGCCGACAAAUCCUCCGCCCAAGACCUGCGCGGCUCCGCAUCGGCAGCCUUGCUGCGUGCGAUUUCGGCGUCUCGCCCAGCCUAGCCGGCAUUCACCUCCAUCUUCGGGGAGAGGAGUCUGAGGGGUACUGUCCCGCCCCGAUUUGUCUGCGUCGGGGAGAUAGAGGGGGUGGAGAAAUUAGAGGAGAGGAAGUGAGUAGGAGCAGUGGUGAUGGGCAGGGAAGCUGUCGCUGGUGGUCACAUGAUCCUCUUCGCCGUGACUUGCCCCUCUCCUUUGCAUGUCGUCUUGGUUUUCAGACUUUCAUACAGGAUGCAAUCCAUCCGAUCAAAAGACCACGAUCCAGUCCAGCAUCUUCCCAAUUCAUUUCCUUCUUCUUUCCAUGUCCCCGUGAAUCAAGUCUGCAAUUGAUCUGAAAAAAAGUUCACCAGCCCAUUCUCCUCAGAUUUAAGGUUCUGAACUCACAACAAUUUAGCAUCUCCUUUCUAUCAGUCUCACCAGGAAGGAUCGGGUAUAUUGACGGCAGAGCUAGCCGCCAUCGUUGCACAGAGGCUGUGGAAUGGAGGAUCUGCAACGGGCUGGUGGUGCACGGUUACUAUGGAGCUCUUCUGAGCGUGAACAGAUGAAGACAUAUCUAGAUGACUUGCUUCCCUGGAUUCCAGUGGAGUUAAAAUUUGAUUAGCCGAGUUGUUCAUACAUUCCGGGUGGAAGAAAAAUCCUAGAAGCCAAAUUGUGCAUCAUCAUAGAUAACAAACCAAUAAUCAAUGUGGCCGCUACCUGUGAUGAGCAUGAUGGCUUAGCCGUACGGCGCGAUGAUCAGACCGUUUCACUACAACAAGACAUGUCACUCACGAGUUGCUGGAGGAGAUGUUGGCGACUCUGGUUCCGUUGGAUAAAGACCAGGGUUGUGCUAUACUGAUAUUUAGCUAGGCCACCAUGGAUGGGGUGACCAUAGUACUGGUGUU